AGUGAACGCUGGCGGCAGGCCUAACACAUGCAAGUCGAACGGCUGAACAGUGCUUGCUUGCGGAUACAGCGGCCGACGGGCGGGUGGUGCCGAGAAACAUCCGUAGCUGCGGGUUCGUACGUGCGGACACAGGCGAUAAUACGGCAUUACUGCUGACGGCCUACGUGGGAAAGCAUCGGACCUUCCGCCCUUGCGCGAUUGUAUGUGCGGAUGUCGGAUUAGCUAGUUGGCGGGGUAAAGGCCCACCAAGGCGACGAUCCGUAGCUGGUCUGAGAGGAUGAUCAGUCACACUGGAACUGAGACACGGUCCAGACUCCUACGGGAGGCAGCAGUGGGGAAUAUUGGACAAUGGGCGAAAGCCUGAUCCAGCCAUGCCGCGUGUGUGAAGAAGGCCUUCGGAUUGUAAAGCCCUUUUGUUGGGGAAGAAAAGCAGUAAGUUAAUACCCCGCUGUUCUGACGGUACCAACAGAAUAAGCACCGGCUAACUUCGUG
rnacentral:rRNA from 1 species